GCCGAAAGGUGGGAGCGAAAUAAAACAAGGAGCAGAACCGCGAAGAAGCCAUGUUUGGUGCGUCGAAGUUUAAACUCGUAGGACUUGGGAGGAGCCAAGGUAUAUCCGCAGAAGAGACCACCCCUGCCCUUUCGCUUUGACGCUCAUUGGGCCUUUUGGCUGCGCAUUUCACCCCGGGCUGAGAAAACAAGCUGGGGAUUCGACAAGAAUGAACUCAAAGUCUGGAAACGGCAGCUUCUGAGAGUUUACAAUGUUUCACCAACUGUCGUCCAAAUAAGUCGUCACCCCUGUCAGAGUAGUUGCAGCUCUGCCGUUACCCACUGCUGUCACUGUGGCCGUUUUAUUCGCGAGGGUUACAGUUCUGUUUAGCAUGCAUCUAAUGACUUAAGACUCCACGCAAGUAAAACGGAGUUUCCUCCCAUUAAGUAUUGGCUUUGCUUUAACAGUGCUUUGAGAGGCUCUCUGUGGCCAACAUAUCUUCUCAUAUCUUUGUCCUCGUUUCCCAAUCUCCGCGUGGUGAAAUCAUCUAUCAAGACUUGGCUUAAAGGACCUCUCUUCUGCAAAUAAUGCCAUCUUCCGCUAGGUGCUCACUGCACACAGACUCGCCGCCCACCACUUCUGUCCACCUUCUGAACUCCGAUAGUUAUUUACCCAGAGACUGUUUCUCAUCUUUAAGUGUCGUGAAGACUUUAAGAUCUGUUUUAUCUCUCUAUACCCCAAAAUGGCCUAGCACAGUAACUAGGACAUUGUAGGUGCUCAAUAAAUGUUUGUCGAAUAUCAAUGACAGCAGGAGGCAGUAAAUGGUCCCUCUUUGUAGGGCCUACAGCUGUGCCUGAGUAGGAUGUACAGAAGUCCUGCAUACGUGUGAAGUGUCUCCAGGAAGCUGCACUGGAGGGGACAGGAAAUGGACAAAUGCUUUUGGAAUCCUGAUCUGACAUGAAAAAAGUUCACCUGAAGCUGCCAUCCUGGAAGACUAUGAGAUGGAGAUGCCCAAGAAGCCCCAGGAAAUUGCCAGUGCUCUGGAUGCAAAUGGAUUUUUCCUUAGGAAUUCAGAGUUGCUGAGUUUUGCAUCAAGACUGAAAGAGGCCAAAAAGAGAAGCUGUGUGGUAGGACUGUGUGAUGACUCAUCCUACUCAAAAUUCUCUAGACUCGGUUUGUGCAAUAUUGGAUUCUACAAUGCUGAGCAAGGGAAGAAAAGUGUUUAAAGGAGAGCCACAAAUAAGAAUAUAUAGGUUGAAUAUAAACUUUAUAGAGCCUGAAUAGAUUGGAAUGGAAUAGAUGGAGGCUUCACACUCCUUCCCACAUGCAUUGUCCUAUGCAUCUCUUCAUCUGGUGUUCAUCGGUAUCCUUUGUAAUAUCCUUUAUAAUAAGCUAGUAAAUGUGA
rnacentral:lncRNA from 1 species